GGGGCUGUAGCUCAGUUGGGAGAGCGGCGCGCUGGCAGCGCGCAGGCCACGGGUUCGAGUCCCGUCAGCUCCA
rnacentral:tRNA from 1 species